AUACAGAGGGUGCAAGCGUUAAUCGGAAUUACUGGGCGUAAAGCGCGCGUAGGCGGUUUGUUAAGUUGGAUGUGAAAGCCCCGGGCUUAACCUGGGAGGGUCAUUCAAAACUGGCAGACUAGAGUGUGGUAGAGGGUAGUGGAAUUCCUAGUGUAGCGGUGAAAUGCGUAGAGAUUAGGAGGACAACCAGUGGCGAAGGCGACUGCCUGGACCAAAACUGACGCUGAGGUGCGAAAGCGUGGGUAGCGAACAGGAUUAGAAACCCGAGUAGUCC
rnacentral:rRNA from 1 species